GGUCACAGCUCUACUUCUGGGCUCAGUCCCCUCAGCAUCCUGCCCGCUUUGAUGUGAAUGCUGUCUGCCAUAGGCUCCCCCUCCAGGACCUACCUCAUCAUGGUGAUCUAAAGCCCUCCGAACCUGUCAUAGACAGAAGAGGGCUGAAUAUGAACCAGGAAGCAGUUCUUACCAGACACACCAAGUCUGCUAGCACCGGAUUUUAGGCUGUCCAACCUCCAGAAUCUCAAGAACUAAGUUUCUGUUGUUUUAUCAGUCAUCAGUUUAUGGCAUUUUGUCAUAGCAGCCCAAAGCAACCGAAAUAUAUACACCAUGUAAAGCUACACUGGAAAGAAGGAAUAUAUGUUAACAAGAAGAAAGCAAGGAAGAAAAGUGAUUAAAAGGCCACGCCUGCCCUUAACUCCAUCAGCGGUGUCAGAACCCAGCACCACAUUCGAGUGCCCGUAGGAACAC